UUUCUUUUUUCGUAUCUAUAAAACGUAACUCCGAGCUAAAAAUCUACAGAAAGAUCUACAGAAAAAAGAGAUUGUGCAAGUUGCCGUUGUUGCUAUUAUUGCCACAGACUUUUGCACAGUGAUCAUACACAGGAUACACAUUAUAAUUCUGAAGCAUAGCCAAUCAACAAGCUAGUCCGUCGUCGUAGGAUUCAGUAUUGGUCAACUGAAGUGCCCAUAGUACGUAAGGUGUCUUACACGAACACGACGACUUUAGACGAUUCGAUAGUACAAGGAUGAGUGAUAGUGCAAUAAAAAAAUUGAUUUAUUGUGAAAAAAGAUAUCAAUGGUGGCAACGAAGAAGAACUUGGCGACGAAUUCGACUGGCAACGUGCACUCGUUGCAAAUCAGCGCGUCAGCACCGAUCGCCCAGUGACCAGAGAAUAUUUCGAGUCUGACCCGUUAUUCGCGUAUCGAGGAAAAGAUUCGCAAGAUUCGCAGAAUUCAAUUAAGCAGUUAGUUUACUCGUUGAAAAAGUACGGCAUUUACAAGCCGAGUGUUGGAAACUUACAUGGGAGGAAAUCAUCAGAUGAAAUGGUGAAGGCCGCAACGAUAUUAGAUGUUAAUAAAGUCAGAAAUGAUACAUAAUUCGGGUACCAGCAUCAAAGGUGCCGGCGGUGAUCCAGCCCAACAAAAGAAAACAAACGAGUAACCUUCUUCACGGUUCUGCAACGGUCACGAAAUAAACAAUGUCUUCUCCAACGUCAACUAUGUUUCUUGUUGGUACACUUCGCUGCAAUCGCGUAAAAACGAUAAAAAUCAAAGUUCAAGAGACAACGAACCUUUCGGUUUUGAGGUGUAAGUGCAAUGACAUUGAGAUAAGUGGUUAGCUCCGGUGCAUCGUCGUUUAUGCAAGACGGAACCAGAGGCUUGGCUACGUGAGUACUCGACAAAGUAAAAAGGGCACGAAAAGAGGUAUCAGAAAGAUGGUACACGAGUGAAGGUGAGAGGAUCAGUGUGCGAGAAAGAAGACACGUCCCGUCAGCGAUGAGAUCGGUCGAACGAAAUACAAAAGAAUAAGUCCUUCAAUGUCUGGAGCUUGUCUUCGGCAGAUCCCUGUCCUGUUCAAGUUAUAAAUGGCAAUCUCUAUUCGAUAUAUCACACUAUAAGUCGGUCUUUUACCGCACACUAAGGUAAGCAUUACGUCUGGCCGCAUGAGCGAUUCAAAGUUUGUUACGCCAAUGCGAUCUUCGCUUGGUCGCGCAGUGCUGGUCGUUUGCCCUGCCCCUUCUACGUGAAUUUCUCUAACCAUGUUAAGAUUUGUUCAUACAACAGAUGGUAUUAGUUAAAGCUAUCGACGUGAUAGAAAUUUUAGCAACGAAAAGAUCUUGUUUCGAGCCUUUGCUUUUUCAGAAAUCGCAUAGAUCGGUAACGUCAGUAAUACGGUUGCACCAUAAGACACUGAAUGAUAUGAAGUUAGUUACGUUUGCAGUGUGCGUUGUGGAUCGAGCCUAAUUCGCCCUCCCGCCGUCACAUCAAGUGCUUCCACAUCGUUCGUCUCCUCGUCGACAAAGUAGCAAUGUUGCAUUCCAAUUUAUUCCAUACCAUUCAUCUUCCUCGGAGCUAAACUCUCCAUUUUCCAUUCAAGAUAAUAGUUAGACGAAGAUAUCAAACAUUGGCGUAGCCAGACGGUCGAACUCGUGUAAAAAUAGUUUCUGGCAAUGUUUAUCGUAUAUCGGUUGAAACUGCGAAUUGAAUGUAAAUAAAAAACAACAAGUAAACGAAGCCUCCCCGUUUUAUCCCAUGUUUACAAAAAGCAAUAUUUUUGUAUUUAUAAAUAUAAUUAUAAUUUGACAUCCUA